GUAGGUGAACCUGCGGAAGGAUCAUUAACACAAAAAACAAUCCCAUAUCCACCCCUUUUUAUAACGAACUAUGAUUGAUUUGGGACUCGAUCAAAAGAGUCCCCGAUCCCUCAUUUUCUCCUCUUUAUUACCCUCUUAUUUUUACCCCAAAACAAACCAUAACAAACAUGCGAUAGACUGAUAUUUAUUUAUCAAAGAUAUAAUAAUCAAUGAUACAUAAAACAACUCUUAGCAACGGAUAUCUUGGCUC
rnacentral:misc_RNA from 1 species